CUGGCAUUAUUGUCUAUUGUUUAAACAUGUGAGGAUUUAGAGAUAAACAAAAGUGAACACAGUCCUUGCCAUUACAGGGCUUACAAUCUAGUUCCAAGUAGAGAGAGGCCUGGACAAAGACCCAAAGGCAGAAAAACACAGAUGUGUUCAUAGAAUAGAGAGAGAACAUCUUGGUCAGAUUGUAAUGGGCAAAGGAGAAAGUUGGAGAGAGACUGGAACACCAAGCAGGGCUUUGGAAGUCAUGGUGUGGAUCUCAGAUUUUAUUUUAAAGACGGGAGGCCAAUAAAGGUAAAAGGGGGAAUGAUGUGGUUACUGGAGCAGAACAUGAGUUCAGUAAAUGUGGCUUGGGAUUGUUAGAAUACUGAUGCUGGACUGAUGGAUGAAGGCUGUGAGUCCCUUCUGUGGCCUGGGGCCAAAGCUUUCUAGGUGUCCAAGCUCUGGUCCAGUGAGGUGUGUGGAGGACCCACCCAUCCAUCAGGGUUCCUGUAGCCCAGUGAGGCCAUAGAGACCCACUCUAUCCACUGCCUGGAAGAAGGGGCUUACUGCUCCGGAGGCAGAUGAGCCUUGAAGAGAGAGAUCCUCCAGUGAGCAGGAUGCAGGCCCCCUCCAUUCUGCGAGAUGAGAAAGCAGUGUGGGAGUCUCCUGGAUGUCUGCGACCCCAGUGCCCAGGAUUGGCCCUGCUUACUCCUGGAGACUGCUGCUCCCCCUUCCCCGUGAUCAAGGGGAUUCCAGAGUUGAGAGAAUCCCAAGAGGAUCACCUCACCUCUUGGAUGCUGUCAGGAUGUCCUGAAGAGUAAGCCUAAGGACAGAAGAAGAGGGAAGACCCGCCUUCAGGCAGCCUGGGGAGGAUACACUUGGUGUCUCAUCAGAACUCUCCAGGCUGGUUGCACUGGAGUGAGUGGCUGAUGUGUGAGUGGCAGCUCUAUUGCUGCCUCAAUGGCGACCAAGCAGCGCCAUUUCUGAGCCUGUUUCCCCAGAGCUCACAAGCCUCCCAAGAGAAGUCAUCUAGAGAACUUGACCCUCUGUUCUCCUCUACCAUCUCCCACUCCUGCCUCUAUGGGAACUCCAGUCUCCAGAUGUGGGGUAAUGUUGUGACAAAGAACAUCUGUUUGGGAAGCUGGCCCCAGGGCUGAGGGUGAUGGGGUGAUGGCAGGCUCCAGGCGGCUCAAGGUUGACAUAGGGCAGCAGGACCUUCUGGGGGCUGAUGCCCAGCAGUGUCUCAAGGCCUGGAACCUGGGAAUAGUCAGACUCUUCUGUAAAACAGAUCUCUUGGAGGUGUCAGGGCCAGGGAGUAGGAGUCCUCCCUGGGAACCUUGGUGGGCACAAGGCGGGCUCCAGGUAGAGUAUUACAGCCCACUCAGGGCAAGGGGUCCUCUAUGUAAAUGCAGGCUGAGAUUUCGGAAACAGCUGGAAUGGGAGGUGAGAGGCUCUGCCGCUCCAACCCUCCCAGGGGGAGCCCAUAUUACAGAAAGGAACAGCUCUCACUCGAUCAGAUUCAGGGAGCCCCUGAGAUUCUGCCCAGACACAAAGACCUGAGCCACGACCUCCGUAUCCCAUUGGUACGACCUUCUCCCCUCGCCCAAUUCAGACUUCAUGCAGGACCACCUUCAUUCUCCCAGCUUGGAGGAGAUACAGAGAAAGCACCCGAAGGCGAAAAUAAGGAGGGCUGUUGUGUUGGACAAAGCGUCGCGGACUCGUAUUCCCAGCCCCAGUGGGAGGUCCUGGAGCCGAUUGAAAAUGGGGAGCCUGAGACGAGGAAGGGCGCGGGACGAGGCCAAGGACUGGGCGGGAUAUGGCGGGUAGCCGGAGCCUGAGAGUAGGAGUGGACCGGGUUUAUCCUUAGGGGCGGGGACUGCGAAUUAGAGGGGGGCCAGGGAAGAGCAGGGGCGGAGGCACUAGGUGGGUGGGGCCAGCUGGGUGGGGGAGGGGCCAGUGAACAGAGAGGCGUGGUCACGACAAAGAGCCUAUCCCUCUCCUUCUCUCCAGCUGGAAUGCCGGCUGACGUGCCAACUCCCAGCAGACACUGUAAUUCAGGAACUCUGAGGCCUUCAGGGCCCCGGGCGGCUCCGGGCAGCAGCUCAGGCCCGGAGAUCGUCGAUCGAAGACCCGGAGAUACACCAGGAAGCAGUCUAGACAGCACUUCUGCAACUGUGGACAGGCGGGCCGGGUCUGAACCGACGCCGAACCAGGGCUACCACGGGGACAAUCGCUAGUGGCGGGUUUCCUGGCCCUAGGAAAGACCCACGUGGUGCAAUCGGAAGCAGGUCAGGUAGACAGCCUGAGGAGAGUUCCCAAACUGGACCAAUUUCGGGAGGAGGUGACUUCAGAUGAAGGAGGCUUGGAAGAUAUAUUGGAAGGAACUUACACAAAGUCCAGAGGCUGGACCAUAGAAGAGAGGUCAAGAUUCUGUGGAUCAGGAAUUAAGCCACGACUUGGCUUGGCAACUGGGCAAUUCUUCUGCUCCCUGUGGCAUCAUCAGUGGUCACUCAGUGGGACUCAGCUGACCGACAGAUUAGUCCAGAGGAUCCAAGACAGCUUCACACAGACCUGAAUGACUGGCUGAGCUCAGCUAGAAGUGUCUUCAGGAGUACCUGCGCAUGGCCUUGCCAGCUGGCCAGUCUCACGGCAGGCUUACCUGGCGGCUGCUCCCUCCAGAGUGAGCGCUGCAGGAGAACCAGACAGAAGCUGGCCUUUCGUGAUACAGCCGCUGAAGCCAUGUAGCAUUACUUCCUAUAAAAUGUUGGUCGAAACAGCCACAGCAUCCCAUCUGGAGUCACAGGGAGGGGACAGAGACCCACCUUUCGAUGGAAGGAAUAACAGUGACCAUUUAAAAAAAAUGCCACAAGGAUAAGUUGUUCUCAGUGCAACAAGUCCAGAGAGGUUCAGCAACUUUCCCCAAGGACAGUUACGGAUAUGAACGGUGCUAGGAAGGAAACAAAAAACAGGGUGAAAGGCAGAGAAUGAAAGGAGAUGGUGGGAAACCAGGACCUGCUGUAUAGCAGAGGGAACUAUAUUCAGUAUCCUGUGAUAAACCAUAUGGAAAAGGAUAUUAAAAAAU
ensembl:lncRNA